GAUGAACGUUGGCGGCGUGCUUAACACAUGCAAGUCGAACGGAAAGGCCCAGCUUGCUGGGUGCUCGAGUGGCGAACGGGUGAGUAACACGUGGGUGAUCUGCCCCUAACUUCGGGAUAAGCUUGGGAAACUGGGUCUAAUACCGGAUAGGACAAUCGUUUAGUGUCGGUUGUGGAAAGUUUUUUCGGGUAGGGUUGAGCCCGCGGCCUAUCAGCUUGUUGGUGGGGUAAUGGCCUACCAAGGCGUCGACGGGUAGCCGGCCUGAGAGGGUGGACGGCCACAUUGGGACUGAGAUACGGCCCAGACUCCUACGGGAGGCAGCAGGGGGGAAUAUUGCACAAUGGGCGCAAGCCUGAUGCAGUGACGCCGCGUGGGGGAUGACGGCCUUCGGGUUGUAAACCUCUUUCGACAGGGACGAAGCUUUGGUGACGGUACCUGUAUAAGAAGCACCGGCUAACUACGUGCCAGCCGCCGCGGUAAAAC
rnacentral:rRNA from 1 species